CUAUCCCAAGGUUCAUUGCGAUCCCAAGGUUCACUGCGGUUUUCCACAAGCCUGUUUCUGCCUAUCACCAUGAGUGAUUCCUCAAUACUCAGAUUUAUCAUCAAGAUCUCAAUUAUAAGCUCAAGUUUUGAUGACAACUUGGUGAUCUGCAGAAAGCACCACCAUGUAAGGAAGGCCAAGACCACUCUGGAAUCAGUCAAGGGUGAAAUGGAGUGAGGCAUACCAGGAUAUGCCUGGUUUUACUUUUGGGAAGGAGGUUGAACAGUGCAAUAUUUCUUCUAUAGGAUUGCAGUGACCAGACAUGCUACUGUAACUCUCAUGGUCAUGUGCUGGAAUUAGCAGAUGUUCAACAAUUUGGCCAUCUCGCUGACCUGUUGAUAUCAGAAGACCCCAACAGCUCUGCAAAGCAAGUUGCAAAACAGAAUCCAUGAAACUGGCAGUGACUGGAAACCAAUUGGAAGACUUUGGUCUGUGAUGUAGAGGAGUGGGCAGAGGUAGCAGAAGCAAAGACAACAAAAAGAAGAAGUGAUGUGGAUGUCUUCGUCAUAUUGCAUGACUCUGCUGACCCAGCAACAAAGAGGAGGGUGUUCAACAUCAUCCUGCUAGUCAGGAUUCUUCAGGAGAAGCAGUGGAUUCUUGUGGCAGAGAUGGUCAACCACUAUAAAUACCUUUCAACUCAUCCUGGUUCUUUCAAAGAACUUUCUUGCUUGUUUGCUACUGAAAUGUACUGAUUCGACAUGUGGCCUUAACGAAGAGGGGUUAAAAGGUCUAUGGAUCAUCAUUCUCA